UUUAGUAUUUAUUUGCUAUUAAUAAUUUAAGUGCACACAUAAUUAUUUUAUAAUUAAAUUUUUAUACUCCUUCCAAAAGUAUCAAACAUUUAGAUGUAAAUUAUUACUUUACAUACUGUCAAAACUAAAAUAAAUAUGCAUUGAGAACAAAAUAUUUUUUAAUUGUUUUCCUCUGAUUUUCAUUAAAAUACAAUGUUGAAGAUAUUUACCAAUUUUGUGCUUAUUCAGUGUAUUUUCAUUUUAUAUCGAUUUUAUAGUAAUUUGAUAAAUAAUAUAACNUCUUAAUAGUUUUUCUUAAUAAUAAUACUUGUUUAACCCUUUUAGUGUGCUUAUCUGCAAACAAAUGAUUUGACAACAUUGCAAAUAAAUUGAAUUUUGUUUUUUUUUUUUAAAAAAAUAACCUGAGAUACAGCCAUGUAAAGUUGGUUGAAAAUAUGAUUUUUUUUUUUUUUAUUGGUAUUUAAAAAAAUAUUAACUAUAAUAUAUGUGUAGCUAUACAAAUAAUUUCUUAUUAUUAUCUUUUUUUCUUACCCAUUUUAAACUACUUAUAGGUUACAACAAUAUGCAAUCCAUAAUAUUGUAAAUUAUUAUUUCUUUAAUCUUAAGUUUUAUAAUUUCAAAAAAAAA